GACGAACGCUGGCGGCGUGCUUAACACAUGCAAGUCGAACGGAAAGGCCCUGCUUUUGUGGGGUGCUCGAGUGGCGAACGGGUGAGUAACACGUGAGUAACCUGCCCUUGACUUUGGGAUAACUUCAGGAAACUGGGGCUAAUACCGGAUAGGAGCUCCUGCUGCAUGGUGGGGGUUGGAAAGUUUCGGCGGUUGGGGAUAGACUCGCGGCUUAUCAGCUUGUUGGUGGGGUAGUGGCUGACCAAGGCUUUGACGGGUAGCCGGCCUGAGAGGGUGACCGGGCACAUUGGGACUGAGAUACGGACCAGACUCGUACGGGAGGCAGCGGUGGGGAAUAUUGCACAAUGGGCGGAAGCCUGAUGCAGCAACGCCGCGUGCGGGAUGACGGCCUUCGGGUUGUAAACAGCUUUCGCCUGUGACGAAGCGUGAGUGACGGUAAUGGGUCAAGAAGCACCGGCUAACUACGUG
rnacentral:rRNA from 1 species